CCAAUUUUCUUUUCUUUUUUUUUGUCUCCACCGAGUAAAGCUGAAGGUCUCCGUGAACAAUUAUGUCUGUAAUUUUUUUCCUUAUCAUCUUCGACUAUCUGGUUUUGGUAAAUCUGAGAAAUCAGAACUUCGUUGAUACUAUUCAUCUGAUAUUCGAAGCUUUCAUCUCCAUAUCGUUUUCAUCACCAGAAUUCAAGAACUGAGCAAAUUAUCAAAUAGUUCCAGAUUGUAGAUCAUCAAAUUUGGAAACUUUCUAGGUGAGGUUUGCGGCCAUCGAGGAUUCAGCUAAUAUAAUGUGUUCCAGUUUGGGAUCGGAUUGCGUCGCACACUAAAGUUACCGAUUGCGUCGCACACUAAAGUUAUCAGCUAUGGACGUCAAUUGAGGAUUGAGCUAAUAUAAUGUGAAGUAAAUAUUCAAUCUGUAUGUUCUCUAUACAUGAAUAACACAUCCUUGAGAAAGAUAAGUGCAAUUCAGGUUUAUAGAUAUUUUUCACUGCAUUGAGUUGUAUUCAUAAUGUUAAUGAAUAAUAGUUUACUUUCUAUUAAUUAGUUCUUUCUGUUGUUUUUUGUUUCUUCAGGUUGAAGUUCAUACAUGUAACAAAGUACUCUACCAGCACUUGGCGUCUAUAAUUUAUUACAGAUUCAGAUAUGUUGGAGGGUAAAAAUAGUUGCGAAUCAAGGAGAUCAGAAAUCUCGGCGUCCAUUAGAUAAAAGAAGAGUUUAAUGUCUUGUGGAGUUUUUGGAAAAGGUAUAAAUUACAAAUAUUUUAAAUGCUAAUUGUGUCAUUGGCGAUAGUUUAGGAAAUCUGAAUAGGGGAAGAUAUUGUUGAAAUAAAAUCCGAAUUUGUUAUGAUUCUUCAGUAAAUGUUUAUGUGAAAUUUAAUACAAUGGCAGUCUUGUAAAUAGAUAGCA